UAAUAGCCUUAAAGAU
rnacentral:tRNA from 1 species